CCUACGGGUGGCAGCAGUGGGGGAUAUUGCACAAUGGGCGAAAGCCUGAUGCAGCGACGCCGCGUGCGGGAAGACGGUCUUCGGAUUUUAAACCUCUGUCUGUGGGGAAGAAAAUGACGGUACCCAAAGAUGACUCUCCGUCUAACUACGUGCCAGCAGCCCCGGUAAUAGGUAGGGAGCAAGCGUUGUCCGGAAUUAUGGGGUGUAACGGGAGCGUAGGCGGGAUGGAAGGUAGAAGGUUAAAUCCAUCGGCUAAACCGGUGGCUGCGUCCUACAAUGUCGUGCUUGAGUGAAGUAGAGGCAGGCGGAAUGCAUAGUGUAGCGGUGAAAUGCGUAGAUAUUAGGAGGAACACCAGUGGCGAAGGCGGCCUGCUGGGCUUUAACUGACGCUGAGGCUCGAAAGCGUGGGGAGCAAACAGGAUUAGAUACCCCAGUAGUC
rnacentral:rRNA from 1 species